rnacentral:tRNA from 1 species
GGGCCUGUGGCUCAAAGUAGGGCACUGGCCCCAUAUGCCAGAGGUGGCAGGUUCAAACCCAGCCUUGGCCA